AGUACAAAUGUCAAACACUGGAUCCUGGUGUAAUUAAAGCUGGGCCCUCAGAGAUGUGGCAGAGGCUUACAAUGGUGCCACCACCCUGUACAUUACUCACCUGGUGCCUGUCAGGUGACACCUCAGCGUGAACAGGAAUAUCGCCUGACACCAUAGAAACACUGUCCUCUGAUUCAGGACUCACCAAUGGGGAAGUUAAAAAUUAACCAUGGCAUUUAUGCUACCCCUACGCACACCUUCAGACUUCAGAAAUGUCUCCUGGCAGAGGCCUCUUUGGCCUGAUGAAAGGCUGAGUAGUAGGGCCAAGGCUAUCUUUUGCCCAGUGUCCUGGGACUCUGGGGUAUUGUGAUAGCCCCAGAAAGUGAGCAGCCCUUCAGUGACUGGACUUCUAGAAUCUGCCUCGCCUGCCCUCCAGCUUCCCUGAGCCCCUUCUGACCAGGGUUAUGUUUACUUCCUCACAGCCACUUUUACUUCUAGAGUUGUAGCCCCAAGAAGGAUGUCAAAUAAGGGAACGAAACACCCUCCAGAGAGAUACCUCCAAAGCUCACCUAUAGAGGUCAACCUCUGCCAGUCCUUUGGGAUGAGGUCAUGAAUGCCUUUCUGCAGUGGAAAGCUUUGCCUUCUGCAGUUCGUGAGUCAGUUGUGACAUGGACAGCAUAUAGUCCUUCAACCUCAGCCUGCUCACUGGUGGGAUAUGGACCUAUUCGAGUCUGCUGCCUCAGAUAUAUGGGCUAUCAUUAUCCUAAGUGCCUGCACACCUACCCACCCCUGACCUGCCUGCCCUGCUCAGGAUUAACUCAGUCUGGAAAGCUUC
rnacentral:lncRNA from 1 species